UUUUUCUCUUUUAGUUUCUUCUUUUUCCAGUAAGAAAGUAAUUGCAGGCAUGUUAUGAUUUUCUUCCCUCUCACAACAAGCAAACAUAGUUUUCUCUCAUCGUGUACUCCAGAACUUGAGUAAUUUGAGAAGAAAUGCCUGCUGAAACAGACCUGUCUUCUAACUGUGACCACAAGUGAAUGUUUCACAGAGAAACAAACCAAUUUCUACUUUAAUCAUUGGCUAUGAAGCAGUUUUGUGCUCACAAUGACUGAGGCUGUGGGCAGAUUUCUUUCCUUGUGACUAUUGCUGUGGAACACUGGAACCUGCAACGGGUACUGUUGCACAGUCUUUCAGUUGUGCAGUGAAUGAAAGAAUACAUUUCUGAUACACCUGUGCAGUCUACAUCCUUCAGAACAAUGAGGUAUUCACAGUCCUGCUUUUCAUCUCCCUGCUCCAAAGUUCAGUAAGAGGACACAGUGCCAUUAGUUUCUAACACCAAACACUCUAAUUAUAUUGGCCAGCUAAUUACUGAUUAGAUAGAAAGUAGUGCCUAUUAGACACAUGAAGGUGAUCACCUCUUAUCACAUCCCAGGUAAAUGCUGUUCAUUGUAAGUGCAUGCUCUGUUAUCACUAUUUUUAGUUCUCUUCUUUGUAAGGUAUUUUUUAUUCUCUUCGUUGAGCACUAAGAAGCACAAUACAUUAUUAACUAUGAUGAAAUGUUGGCCUUUCCUGUUUUGAAAUGUCUGAGAAAAAUGUAUGAGGAUGGGCACUACCUUGAUCCUGGGAACAUGAAGACUCCUCUCUUCAGUGAGCAUCUUCAAGCACUGUUGAAGGGGCUACCACUUCCCCUGGACUGUAGCUGUGGUCUCAUGGGCCCUGGUGAAGGAGCAGCCCAAGGUUUUGGUGAGCCACAUGCACACCAGGCAGCAUACACUCUUCUCGUGGUCCCAGAAGAGCUGCAGCUGGAAGGACAAAUAAAUCAAAAGAUUUGUCAAAUUAUUUUGACAAAUAAAUCAAAAGAAAUCAAAAGUCACCUCCUCCUGGCAUGACAUCUCAUGGGCUAGGUGCUCAGUUCCUGUGGAUUUUCCAUGGAUGCAGCUUUCUGCUGCAGCAGACAUUGGCCAAGCUGGCUGCUCAGGGAGGUGGCUGCUUCAAUCCCUACAGGUGCAUGGAGGUGUGUUUAUGCACAGGCAGCCAGGAUCAGAGGAGAGGUGGGAACAAGAGCAAAUGUUAUCAUUCCCAGAUGAAAACUGGUCUGUAACUCCUAAUGGAAAACACUCAGUCCAUAUAGGAAAACUAUGAACUUUGCACUUUUUUCGUACACUUUUUUUUAUGUAAGUGUGAAAUACCUACAUUUUUUUCUAUUAAAAGUUUGAUUUGUUGAAAUACAAUUUUCCAUCAGAAGUAAUAAAUGAUGGAUAUGUCCUUAACAGUCUUCUUUAAAACCCAAUAAAACAUUCCUUGUGGUAUUAGUAGGCUAAUGCAAUAUGCUAUAAAGGUCAUAUUCAUAAAAAGAUAUUCUAUACUGCAUAGUCUUGAUGUUGGAAAUUAGUCCAAGUUAACUCUUGUUACACUAAUCAUUCCUUACCCUGUAUGCUCCCUGACUUCUGCAGGAUACUGAUGGUCAAUAAAUAAUCAUACUUCCUUAAGUAGAAAAGUAGCUGCUGUAAAAGUAAUGUUCUUUGAUUUCUGUUGAUAAUGUAGGAAUAAGUCCUUUAGCAGGCAAUACUCUGUCUGAAGUAAAAAUUUUCAUUUCCUGGACAUGAACUACAUAAUGAGCCAUCAAUUGUAGACUGCCACUAAGGAGAGUCAAACCUAGUUUGCUCAGAAGCCACCUACAAAGCAUAAGGUGUGAUUAAAACAGUAUGUUGUGAAAUAAGGUGAGACUAUAACAGUAUCUUCUGAAAAGUCUUUGAUUCUUUCCCUUUUCAACUACAAACAAUACUAAUUACAGGAGGGGCAGAGAAGUAAAAUAAUAGAAGUUACCCUAAUUAUCUGGAGUCUCUAUUUUGUGUUGGAUGGAUGCUUGGUGUGCUUACUAUCUGUUUGAUUUUGUUAAUGAUACUUCAUAAAUUAUAUGCAAAUAAAGAAUGCAGAUGGGAA